AGGACGAACGCUGGCGGCGUGCUUAACACAUGCAAGUCGAGCGGAAAGGCCCUUCGGGGUACUCGAGCGGCGAACGGGUGAGUAACACGUGAGCAACCUGCCCUUAGCUUCGGGAUAGCUCCGGGAAACCGGAAUUAAUACCGAAUAUGACUUUGGCUGACAUCAGCAGAAGUGGAAAGUUUUUCGGCUAGGGAUGGACUCGCGGCCUAUCAGCUAGUUGGUGAGGUAACGGCCCACCAAGGCGACGACGGGUAGCCGGCCUGAGAGGGCGACCGGCCACACUGGGACUGAGACACGGCCCAGACUCCUACGGGAGGCAGCAGUGGGGAAUAUUGCGCAAUGGGCGAAAGCCUGACGCAGCGACGCCGCGUGGGGGAUGAAUGCCUUCGGGUUGUAAACCCCUUUCAGCAGGGACGAAGCGAAAGUGACGGUACCUGCAGAAGAGCGCCGGCUACUACGUGCCAGCAGCCGC
rnacentral:rRNA from 1 species